UACGUAGGGGGCUAGCGUUGUCCGGAAUCAUUGGGCGUAAAGAGCGUGUAGGCGGUCCGGUAAGUCCGCUGUGAAAGUCGGGGGCUCAACCCUCGAAUGCCGGUGGAUACUGUCGGGCUAGAGUGCGGAAGAGGCGAGUGGAAUUCCUGGUGUAGCGGUGAAAUGCGCAGAUAUCAGGAGGAACACCUAUUGCGAAGGCAGCUCGCUGGGACGUAACUGACGCUGAGACGCGAAAGCGUGGAGAGCAAACAGG
rnacentral:rRNA from 1 species